AGGGCCGUAGCUCAGUGGGAGAGCGCCACCUUGACGCGGUGGAGGUCAGGGGUUCGAAACCCCUCGGCCCUACCA
rnacentral:tRNA from 3 species